GAUGGACGCUAGCGGCAGGCUUAACACAUGCAAGUCGAGGGGUAUAGUUCUUCGGAGCUAGAGACCGGCGCACGGGUGCGUAACGCGUAUGCAAUCUACCUUUUGCAGAGGGAUAGCCCAGAGAAAUUUGGAUUAAUACCUCAUGGUAUGUGAGAAUGGCAUCAUUUUCACAUUAAAGUCACAACGGCAAAAGAUGAGCAUGCGUCCCAUUAGCUAGUUGGUAAGGUAACGGCUUACCAAGGCAACGAUGGGUAGGGGUCCUGAGAGGGAGAUCCCCCACACUGGUACUGAGACACGGACCAGACUCCUACGGGAGGCAGCAGUGAGGAAUAUUGGACAAUGGGCGCAAGCCUGAUCCAGCCAUGCCGCGUGCAGGAUGACGGCCCUAUGGAUUGUAUACUGCUUUUGUACAGGAAGAAACACUGGUUCGUGAACCAGCUUGACGGUACUGUAAGAAUAAGGAUCGGCUAACUCCGUGCCAGCCGCCGCCGUAAAAC
rnacentral:rRNA from 1 species